GGGGAUUUAGCUCAGUGGUAGAGCGUUUGCCUAGCAAGCACAAGGCCCUGGGUUCAGUCCUCA
rfam:Mus musculus chromosome 16, GRC primary reference assembly.